CCUACGGGACGCAGCAGUGGGGAAUAUUGCACAAUGGGGGAAACCCUGAUGCAGCGACGCCGCGUGAGUGAAGAAGUAAUUCGUUAUGUAAAGCUCUAUCAGCAGGGAAGAAACAGACGGUACCUGAGUAAGAAGCCCCGGCUAACUACGUGCCAGCAGCCGCGGUAAUACGUAGGGGGCAAGCGUUACCCGGAUUUACUGGGUGUAAAGGGAGCGUAGACGGCGAAGAAAGUCUGAAGUGAAA
rnacentral:rRNA from 1 species